AUUUAAGUAGUUUAAAAAAAAUUUAAAGUUGUGGUCUUUAGGAUAGGCUAUCUCUUAAAUA
rnacentral:tRNA from 1 species